GAAGCGUGCUCAGACAAAUGUAUACUUUCCCCGCAAUUGAUUUAUAUCAAAUUUUUGACUUUAGAAUGAUAAAUCUUUUCACUUGUAAUACAGGUGCUUUUGUUAACUCUUUAAGCAAGUGGACAGGCAACAUUCCUGACAUGCAAGAAAUGCGACAGAGUCCCAAGUCUUGAUAGUUGCUCAGGAUCGGUGAAAUGUGCCGACGAUGAGAUAUGCUUUAUGGAUGAAUUAAUCACAGAUCAAUCGAACGUUGUAUACACUGGAGGAUGCCGCUCAAAAGUUCUAACACCAAUUCUACCAGCUGCUAUCUUUGUGACAGUGACAGAGCUGACACAGAACAAAGAGAUGUAGACAUGCCUGAAGAGUGUGUGUCAAAAACUACCUGUCGGCCGAAUGAGGCAUGUGGCGUGGAAAGACUCGACUUCAAUGGUAAAGACAGACAUCAAUAUACAUGCUUACCAAGACGAGUAUGUUAACUUAUUAGUUAAAUGCAUUUUGAUAUUGCUCAUCUUAUGCUUAUGUGGUAAUUCUUUGUAUAUUAAUCAAAAUGGGGUCAUUGAACUACUUUCUAUUUACUCAGGUAGCCUGGGUAUCUACGACCUGUGCAUAGGGUAUCCUGAUGACCCAAUAUACGUUUUCGAAAUGUAAAAAUGUUAUUAAAACAUGUCUGCAUUCUUUUUUCUUCUUUUUUAAUGUUGUUUUUGUUGUUUGUUGUUGUUGUUAUUGUUGUUGUUGAUGUUGUCUUUUUGUUUUGUUUUGUUUUUAGGCGUUCAAAAUGAGAUAACAGGUAUUAGUUCAUAUAAAUUCUGAGAAUAUAUUACAUGUAUUAUAAUUAAGUCACUAAAGUAGGAAAACAUAUAUUUCGUUAUGUUUAAAUUUACGCGAAACGAAACAGCAAGUGAUAAUAUAGUGACUAGUAGAAAUAAAAGAUAUUUUCAAUGUUCCAUAAAAAUGGCUUAGCACGAAAUUUCUCUCAUGUCUGCAUUCUUAAGGUUGUUGGCCCGUACUGACAAUCGACAAUUUCCGUUCUUUUACGUAUUUUCCGUCUGCAGUUUCGGCAUUCUGCGGUUGUUAUAAACUUUUAAACAUGGAAAACCACAGGUCGCCCUACAAGACAUAAAUGAAAAUGUUGCAGUCUGUUUGUUUGAGUCUAUUCAUGGACGGUAAUGGAAACGCAAGCUAUCGUCGACGCCCUCUAGUUCCGGAUUAAGCAGAACUCAACAUGUACUCAUGUUAUAUGCAAAUUGUUAACCAAAGAAAGUCUUAAAAUGAAAGAUAAGUGCAUUACAAAUCCCGAUCCUGCUAUCUGCGGACAAGUUGGAAAGAGAGCAGUGACCAGUCAAUGUACAGCAUGUUGUGGGGAUGGUUUAUGUAACAGCGGAGUAUGUGAGCAAGUCAUAGACCGUCUGUAUAACUUAUGGAAAGGUGGCGUCCUGGAUUUUGAUACUCUAAAGGUGAAAGCAACAUCGGCUAAGAUACAAACGACAAAAUCGGACCAUAUACAAACAACAGGAUCGACCCAGAUAUAAACGACAAAAUCGACCCAGAUACAAACAAAAACACCAACCCAGAAACAAACGACAAAAUCGACCCAGAUACAAACGACAACAAUAAAACCAGAUUUGAUGUCCAACUCUGAUGCCGUGUGUCAACCAACUAUGAAAGACCACUGUUAUAUUAUAUUUAAGUAUCCACUGUCAUGGAUUGACGCAAAGGCGAUUUGUCUUGCUAGACAUGGUAAAUUAUUUGUCCCAGAAAGUAUGGAAGAGGAAAUGUUUGUUGAACAAUACCUAAACAUAGUAGGAGAUUUUUUGCACUACUCCAAACAUUCCUUUUGGAUCGGCGGAAGAACAGAAUCGAGUGUGAAUUCCUGGUUGGAUAUGAAAGGCAAUAGUGUAGAAAGAUGGGCGGCCAAUAUUCAAAAUCAAAACGACACUUCUUGUAUCGCAAUGGAUGGUCAAUGGAAUUUCCUUUGGAAUAGAUUCCAUUGUAACAACACAUUAUUCUUUAUUUGUAAAGAAAAGUAGGUAUAUCUACU